rnacentral:rRNA from 1 species
CUACGGGUUGCAGCAGUGAGGAAUAUUGCACAAUGGGGGGAACCCUGAUGCAGCAACGCCGCGUGGAGGAUGACGCAUUUCGGUGUGUAAACUCCUUUUAUAUGUCAAGAAAAUGACGGUAGCAUAUGAAUAAGCACCGGCUAACUCCGUGCCAGCAGCCGCGGUAAUACGGAGGGUGCAAGGCGUUACUCGGAAUCACUGGGCGCAAAGGACGCGUAGGCGGGUUGGAAAGUCAGGUGUGAAAUCCUACAGCUUAACUGUAGAACUGCACUUGAAACUUCUAAUCUAGAGUAUGGGAGGGGGAGAUGGAAUUAGUGGUGUAGGGGUAAAAUCCGUAGAUAUCACUAGGAAUACCUAAAGCGAAGGCGAUCUCCUGGAACAUUACUGACGCUAAGGCGUGAAAGCGUGGGGAGCAAACAGGAUUAGAUACCCGGGUAGUC